AUCAGUUGGUAAAAUUCAAACAGUUAAUAAAUGCAGGACUCAGCUUGUGAUUGUCAGAGAUACUCGUUGACAGGUUGGAAGGGUCAUGAGGUAGUGGGAAAUAUACUGAGUAGCAGUCAAAGGAUUUUGGUGUCAAGUGUGUGCUUCAGGCAAGUUUCUAAACUUCAUUUUCCUCACCUGCAAACUGUUAAUGUCUGUCUUGUUAUCACAGGGUUGCUGACGAGGCUGGGUCUGAUGAACCACUCAGUGCCUUGCGGACCAGAGGCUUUUACAUGAAAAACCUCGCUCGCUUAAACCAUUGUUAAUUGGGGCCACAACAGCUGGCCUUUGAACAACUGUCUACGUACAGAUUUUCUUAGACAACAUACUUAUGGUACUGCUCAAUAUAGGACAGCAGCAUGAAAGUGUUUUCUCUUGUGGCCAGUAUAUUACAUAUACAUGUGUACAUAUAUAAGAAAAUAUUUCCUGACUGCUUGUUAUUGGGGCCCAUGUCCAGACAUAGACGACUUUCCUCCGUCUAGACUCAGGCCCAGCCCAGCAGGCGUCUUCAGCACUUCAACGCACACAGCAUCAUGAGCAGCCACGCUUCUCCCUGUGGAAAUGAUGUUCGUGAAGGUGGUGGUGGCGGAGUAGGGAUUCUCAUCACCUGCCCCGGACCCCCAGUCCAGUGAUGAGCUGAGCCUGGUGCAGAAUCUUCAGGAUGUCCCCAUGGGCUAAACCAGCCAGCGAGGUGCCAUUGACUGACAGGAGGAGAUUUCCUCUGUUCACAGUCCCUUCCUGAGAUGCUGCCCCCUGAGAAAACACCCUGUGAACCUGAGACAAAGAGGACAAGAGCUCAUUUAUGACCUCCAGUUAAGGAAACAAACUGGCAGUCUUUCGCAAGAGCAUUUUGAUGUCACUCACCACAGGUUUGGGCUCCGCAUCUGUCCCUCCUGCCACACUGAAUC